GCUACACAGAACGUUACUUUUGCAUCUUUCGAAAUUACUCUAUGGAGAUGUGGCAGAGAGCCGGCUCUGCCUCUCAUCCCAUCCCCCAUCACGGAGAACAAAGACCAGGUGAUUCCUAUCACCUGAUUGAUGCUCCUGGCCAGGUGGGUGGAGGGAAGACCUGCUUCACAGCCUUCCUGCUUGGAGCAGGAGACAGGCCAGGGGAGGACACAACUCUCUGGUAAUGAUCACAGAAGUUGUUCUUCCCUGGGUUUAACCGGUGCGAAAGAACCCUUCGAACUGGAUGGACUGCUGGUUUUUCCACCUGAGGGCCUCCCAACUAUGGGUUGUCUAACAACUUAAAGAGAAGCCCAAAGCAAUUAAGAACCCACUAAAGGGUUAAAGAAAACUAAGGGAUCUAAA